rnacentral:lncRNA from 1 species
GUGAAGCCCUAGGCACAGUACCUGGACAGACCUGGCUAUCCAGUAGCACCUAUUCUAACCUUACAGGGCAGAGCCAGGUGAAACAUCAGAACAGGGAGAAGACUCUAGAAACUGAGAAUUGACUUGAAUUUGACUUAGAUUUCAACGCACUUAUUAAGUAACUACUGUGCAUUGGGCCUGUGCUAGUGCCAGGGACACAAAGACCAGGAUAGCACGGGCUGUUUCUCAAGAAGCUCUCAGGCUGCUGGGGGAGAAAGGCACAGGAACGAAGUGGCAGUGCCUUGUGGAGAGAAAACACUUGGCCAAAGCUCUUCACUGAGGGACCUGAAUUCAGAAGACCUGAACUGCAGCCAAGAUGCCAACCCUGUCUCUACAGCAAUGACAACCGGAGGACCCUCCCAUUUGGAAACCUUAACCUCUAUUAUGCUGAGGAACAGUUUGAGCAUUAAACAACUUUCGAAUCAUAUUCUCAUAAACCAUCCCAUUUGGGUCUCCUGGAAGUCCUGUGAGGAAGGCAGUGAAGGUAUUGGUGGCACAGUGUCUUCCUGAAGCUACAGAGACAGAUGGUCGGUGGAGUUUGGCUGGAGGAGGCGUUAAGGAAACUCCUAACUGCACUGGUGAGGAACGUGCAGCUGCCCAAGGCCCAUCCAAAACUAUGUGCAAGCCAGUGACUCACCAUGUGGGCAUCCCAGUCUGAUGCUGCUCGAGAACUUCCAGACCUCUACAGAGAAGGAGG